ACCAGCUCACGUCCGUCCCGUUGUUCGGAGGCGUUCGCGAAUUCUUUACGAAGGUACCCUGGAACAUCUCCUGGGAGGAGCAUAUCGGCUGAACUACUGCAACGUCUGAUAGCCUACACACAAGCUAAGAACUUUUCCAAAAGUUCCUACCACUCAAAAAGCAUACGUUCUCUGCGACCCAAAGAAGAUUCCUCCAAAGACCUACCAAAAGCAAAGUCUUCCAAAAGCGUCCAAACGUACACCAGAAGUAAGAGCCCUAAAGAUGUGCCCAAGCCUGAAAGAGAGAGAGAUAUACCAGUGGUGCAGGAGAAAAGGAGACGGAAGAGGCCACAGUCGCCUGUGAAAUCUGCGAGAGAUGUCAGAUACAAAGACAACCACAUCAACACGACGUACGACUACCUAAAGAGCACGUCCCCGCGUCGGUUCGCACGGACGACUGACGUCAGAUACCUGAGUGAUAUGACGCGGUGCCUGAGAGACACCCUGAGACAGAU